rnacentral:lncRNA from 1 species
UAAAUCCCAAACGAACACUGUUCCAUCAUCGUUCUCACUCGAACCAGGCCCCAAAUUCAGCCCAAAUUCGGGCGAGUGAAUCCCAAAUCCUUAACCCACGCGUCCCUCCUUCUCUCAUCUUGCCGUUGCUAACGGUUUUUGAAGUAAGAUUUCCCUCCCCUCUCACUCUCUCGAAUUCGAGUUUUAUCCCACGAUUGGAAGGUUCUGGAGACGAGAUGCUGGAUGAGUGUGAGUCAUUGGAUUGAUUUCACUCAUUCCGAGCCCCACAUUCAUCAAGGAUUCGUCUUCAAAAGAAGCCUUAUCCGAUUUUGUAAAGGGGACUCGGGUAAAAAAUUUGGAAAAAAAAAGUUGAAAGUCUUCUUGAACUGAUGGUUUUCGGAGUUUAUUUUCUUCUUAGAAGAGUUCUUUCAAAGUUGAAUAGAAACAUAUAUACAAAUAUUUUUUCUUAUUUUCUGAAUCCGAAUUUGAGUUCCAAGGAGAUAAAAAUUGAAGUUCAAGCUUGGUUUUCUACUGUCGUCUUGCUGAUUCGCUGCUGAACCUCACUAGGAUUUGGAGUCGAGAAGUGUAUUGUUGAGUCCAUAAUUGUUAUAAAAGAAAUUUGCAACUUCAGGUUCAAUUUUUCUCUCUUUAUUUCUAUGCGACUCUGUUUUGUUUCAGUGUUUUUGAGCUAUGAGAUUCAGUCUAGAGUGGUUUGUUCUGUAUUAUGAUCGAAUUUCUUGUUGACUGAAUCUAUUCCCGGUGGUGGUAUGUGUUUGAGUAUAUAUAGUUAAUAAGAGUCGAUUUGAGUAAUCGUCUUCCAUCUCCUGUUUGUCGUAAUUGUUAUUCGGGCUCGAGGUAUAUUCUGAGUUAAAUUUCAUCAUGUUCAUUUGAACGAUAUGUGCAAUUUCUUCCGGUGAAAUUCCUUUGCAAUAUGGUCUGAUGUUCAUGAUGAUUUGCCUGAGCCAUAAGUUCAGGGAGUUAGUUAAUAGUUCUGUAGAUGUUAUACUAGAAAUAUGUGGUCGACCUAGAAUGGUUUUCACUGUUAGCUGUGGUGUUCUGAUUGAGGAUUCAACACACAACUAGUCAAUGGUUGUGCUAAAGCUGACCUCAAAUCAAUUGGUUCAAGUAUCCUAACAGUAGAGUUGCUGGGAGUCUUCUAUGUGCUAAUUGUUAAACUAUAGCUUUGUACAUGUUUAGUUUCCUUUAUAAGCAACAAGAGGCUGAUUUGAGUAAGAUGAGCAAAAAUCAGUAGUAAAUUAUGAGUUUACGUUCAUUUUUCGAACCAAGUUAUGUUGCUUUGAUUGAGCUUCCUGAAAUUUUGUUCAUCCUUAACUUGGUCUCAUAGUUUGAACAGUUUUAGUCGACUGUAUUUCAAAUCUUAUUUCAGUUUUUAUGGUUAUUAUGGUUGUCAUGGUUCAUUAGUCGAGCCAGUGCAUAUGUUGAAUGGUUUUUUUAAGAGUUUUGAAAUGAAAUUAUUAGCCUAAAAGUUUAACAGACGUGAGGUCUUGAUUGAGUACAUGCUUUGGUAUGAACUGUGUUGAACCACUAGAGUAUCUGUGGUUUGUUCUAUUUUCCCUGUAAGCUGAAAGAAAUGAUUAGAAAAUUCUCUGUUUGUGACAUUGCGUUGCUCAUAGCUGAUUGGAGUAACUCACUACUGGAUAUAAUUAGGAUCGAAGUUGCUCAUAGUAUGUCAUGCAAAUUUAGUAUGCCCUCUUUCCUUUUGUGAUCAAAAGUUAAAGUUUGCUUUGGUUAGUAGUAGCUUAUCCCGUUUCUGUUGAAGGCUCACCUUGAUAAUGUGUAUGCAUAAUGAUAAAUGCAUUUUUGCUAAGGUUUUGGACAUCAGAUGGCACCUUGUCUCCCAUCUCUUUUAACUGUUUUUUUUUCUCAACUUGUUAUAUAAUAGAUUCUGCUUGUUUAUUUGUGUCGAUGGAGUCCCUCUUUUCCUUGUCAUCUUUAGCAAAUUUCUCAGCUUCCUGAACCAUUCUAUUGACCUGAAAAAACAGUUCGUCAAAAGGUGGAUGGUAAUUAUGCUAUAGGGAUGAUUAAUGACCACUCUUGUCUUGUAAAAGUAUAUGAUUAUGGAUGUUGUGCUGAAGUUCAAAGCCAUGCCACAACUUAUAUUCACACAAAUUCUGUAAUGCAGCUCAAUAUUGAUAUCCAAAACUAAAGUGCAAUAGCUAUAACCCUCAUAGUGUAGCUUAGAAACAUCUUGUUAGAAUAACUCGAUGUGUGCCAUGCCAAACAAGAAUCUCAAUUACAUGUCCCUCGUUUUAAUUAGUUUGAUUUAAUCUUUAGACUUCGAGGCGUGCCAUUUAGCAAAUUUCCAUGGCCCUCGCAAAGUUAACAACACGUAGUCGCUUUCAGGCGCGUUAUUUAAUAAUGUACAAUCCUAAACUCGGGUGCGCAUUUAUGUGACCCAAAUUCAAAUCUCAACGAUGUUAAAAUAUGUCAAAGACCGCGGGUGCAUUUAUGUGACGUGGUUCAAGACGUGUUUUAACAACGUUGAAAUAUUCCUAAAAUGACUAAAAGCGGUUAAAGUUUUAAAAAUGCACAUAGGUUUAAAAUGUUUAAAAUCAGAUAAUUAGACCAAUAAUAACAGUUGAGCGACCGUGCUAGAACCACGAAACUCGGGAAUUCCUAACACAUUCUUCCGGGUUAACAGAAUUCCUUACCCGGAUUUCUGGUUCGCGAACUGUUAAACAGAGUCAAAUUUCCUCGAUUCGGGAUUUAAAUCGGUGACUUGGGACACCACAAAUCUCCCAAGUGGCGACUCUUAUUCUUAAAAUAAAUAAUCCCAUUUCGAUUAUCACUUUAAGUUGGAAAAAACUCCCUUAUACUCACCUUUUGGGGGUGUAAGUAAAAAGGAGGUGUGAUAGAAGUAAGGGUGUUUACCAGACGGGUUGGAUCGGGAUGGACAUGAAAAAAAUAGCCCAUUCGGUUAGUGGGUGGGCUGGUUAGUGGCUGGAGUUCUGGGCAGGAAGUGGGCUGGGAUAUUACGGAUUUUGUUGAGCCCGUCCAGGUUCAGAUCGGGCCGGGUUAAUUUUUUUUUUUUUUUUUUGCGUAUUACGUUUCCUUAUUAAUAUUAUUGAUACUUCAGUAUUUGCAAACUUUUAAAUAAUAAAUAAGUAUUUUAAAACGUAAAAUUAAACUUUUAAACUUUAAAGAUUAAAGUUUUAAAUUUUAAAUUAGAGUUUUAAAAAAUUUGAAAAUAGAAAUUAAGUGGCUACAUAAGAUUAUUUAAAGACCAAUAUGUAAGGAUCAAACUUGAAUGGCUUCCAUUUUCAUUUCAUAAUAAUACUUCAAAUUAACUUGUCUAAUAAACUAACACAUUAAGCUUAAAUAAGUCUAACAAAUUUAAAAUAACACAAAUUAUCUCAAAUCAACUUAAAUAUGAAUUCCUGGAGGACGCACAACACUACCCUUGAUAUGCCUCCUUAAACCAGUUGUGUUCUCCCACUUUCGACGAACAUUACAGACUCGACUAUAUUUCUUGCACUCUCAAAGUGUUCACAAAUAUGCGAGCACACUCUUGAAAUAAUGGGCAUGAUUUAACUUGAACCUAACAAAAAUGGUAACCACACUUCACUUGAUAAUUAUAAUUUUGUAGCAGCCACCGUAAAUAAUUGAUAAAACAUAAAAUAAUAAUUAAUUGAGAAGUUGAGCGCAACAAACAAUUUACUAAACAAGAGAGAAUUGAGAGAGAAUUAGAGUAGAAGAGGAGAACAAGUUGUUAGAAGAAACAGAAGAAGAGGGGUUUUUUUAAUAAUUUUUAAAAGGCUAAAAUAUAAUUUAUAAAUUAUUAGGGGGUAGAGGAGCUAUUUUAGUAAGGGGAUACGCCGAAAUGGCUAAAAAUAUAAAAAAAAUGACGGUUGCCCAACAGUCAUUUUGAUUUUGACCGUUGGCAACUAUCAAAUUUUUUUAAAAAAAUACAACUUAAAUCGGGCUGGACCGAGCUGGAACAUGGUUAAAACCCUUGCGAGGGUCCAAUGUUAUUACAUAUAAGCCAAUCUCAUACAAAAUAAUUCAGUAUAUAUAGAACCAUGCAAUAACCUAAAUAACAAAAGGAACCUAAUAAGUUCUUAAGAAUAUGUGAUAUGUUAUAAAUAGAAUUUUAUUUAUGGGGAAUAUUUUUAGGGAUUUUACUUGGUGGCUAAGUCACUCUUUUUCUAUAAAUAAAGGAGUCCUAUUCCAUUGCAAUUGAUCCCAAAAGCAAUAAGGAUUAUUUCUCCCUACUUUUCUCUGCAAUACUCUUCUUCUUCUUUUAUUGUUUCAUAACACGUUAUCAUCACGAGACUCUAACCAAUUGAGUAUAAGCUUUGGAAUUGAGGAUAAUGAUUGUCAAUUAUUCCAUGAACUUCCUUCAUGAUUAAAUUCUGGAUUUAAGGUAAGUAUUUUACUGUAUUUUUCCCUUUUAUUCUAUAAUUUGAUUUUAAAUACAAGCAAAGACAAUACAUUUUGAUUAUAACUUUAAUGGAGUUAGUAAGAAAUUAUAACCACUUGAAGUGGUAAAAUUUCUAUGCCUUGUCAUGAUCAAAUUCAUGUAUGAUUGUAGGCAAAGAAUUGACAAUCCGUCCCAUUGAAUUUGCUCCAUUCUCAUUACCUUAAGAGAAUGUGAUAGUAGUAUGUAAUAAGUCUGAAAGAUGACAAAAUUUAUACUAUGAAUGUAUUAAUAGAUGUAGAUGUGGCAAUAAAUGAAAUUAUAAUCGUCAUUAUUGUGGUAAUAAAAAUAAUAAAGAUUCUUAAAAUAUUCCUUCACUAUGUGAAAGUAAUAUUUGUCAUCAAUUUGACAUGAGAUUUCGUAAAGCACAUAUAGAUGAUUAUGGUCCAUUCAUGAUUUGAAUAUGACAAUCUGUGAUUUAUGAAUACAUAUUCAUUCUUGGAAGAAUAUGAACAUGCUAGUGGUAGUGAAUAUGCCACACUCACCUCUAGAAAGAGGUUUGAGGGGAAAUAAGAAAAUAAUGUCAUUAUUAUGGCAUGAAAGGUCAUUGGUCACAUACCUAUUGUACGUCAAAAUAUUUUGGCGAUGUGAUUAUUAAAUGGCAACAGCAAUGCAAGGAACAUAUUUUGUAUAGAAUUUUGAUCAUGACCAUAAUGGUAUAACUUUCUCUUUAAAAAAGAUACUCACCAUACAGAUGUUGAUGAAUAUAUGGUAGUACCAAAUUAAUUGAGAGCUCUGGAAGAGCCAAUUAUUACUAUUUUGGAGGAAUAUAAUUGAUUAUCAAUAAGGCAUUGGAUUGUAGUAAAUCUCAAAGAAACUUAAUUGAGUUUCUAAUGUAUUCGCGAAAGCGAUUGAUUAUAUUGAGACUAUAGAUAAAGGAAAGAUUUAAUAUCUUCUAUUACUACAACUUGUAGCAUAGUAAUAUGUAUGUGAAAAGUUACCCGCUUUAUUCUCCAGUUUGUACUACACAAAUAAAUGAAUACCACAAUAAAGUAGAAGUUUAUUGAUAUAAAAACUCAUAUCAUAAUAAACUUGGAGUUUAUUGAUAAUUGCACACAUCAUGGUGUAAAUAUGAAGUUUUAUCAAUAUUGAUAAUUUUAAUCUAAGUAUGAUGUGCUAAAAUAAUACAGAAUUCACAUGGGUAAAUAUUAAAGUACUAGAAAGUUCUUUACAAAUUCUCUUAUAUUGCUUGUUCUCAUUAAUUAAUAGACCAACUAAAGUUAGGAUUGAAUCUCAUGAAUGCUAUUCACCCCAUUCACCUUCUAUGGAUACCAUAUAACAUGCAUCUAUGAGAUGAUCACAUGUGCGAUUAUUAUUAACCCACAACCUAGUGUUUGCGAGGUAACUUGCUUAAUAAUUUACUUCAGAGCAUAUUCCAGACUUUUUAUUCAAGAUAGUUCAUCUUGAUAAGUUGGUUUAUAUCAUAGUUGGUUUAGCAAAAUAAUUUAUUCAGUGCCUCCACUUAAUAGCUAAACUAUUAUUUAUGAGAACAAAGUUAUCUGUAUCAGUUUCAUAUACGUUAUAUAUGAAAGUAUAUUAUUUUCUCUCAUCGCAAGUGGUUCAGGGUCAGGAACCAAAUGAUUCCAUCGUAUUAUUACUGAUGUAUGGUGUAAAUUUUGAUUAAUACCAUAACGCACAAAGAUGAUUUCUCAAAGUUGAGGAAAUAAGUUAGUUUUUCUAACAUUGGGGGGGGGGGGGGGGAGGGAGAUAAGAUAAACAGUUGAGAAAAUGCUAUGUGGAAUGAAUUAUCAUUUGUAUAUCUAGAUCCUCGAAAUACGAUAAUAUGAACUUGAAGUUCAUCAAAAGAUAAUUCAUUUGCAAUAUAUUUCCAAGCAUGCCGGACGCAUUUGUUGACCCAAAGAAAGUAACUAUAUUCUCAUUGCAAAUACUCAUAUUAAGUCCUAGAAGGACAAAGUCUAUGGUACGCUUAAACCAUAUCGACAAAUCGAUUUCAAAUAAACUUCUUUAUAAAGAAGAUGAGCAAAUGAUCAUAAUAAAGGAGGCAAGUGAUCUAGAAGAUCACAUGACAUAACACUUCAUAAAAUCUCAUGAGAGAUUCAGGUACCUGAAUAUAUGAAUGAAGAGAUCUCUAUGUUAUGUCUUUAUGAAAAAUAAGGAGGUUGGAACCGAUAUAAAAUGUUCGACGACGACAUCUAUGAUAGCGCUACGUAUAGAUGAAGAUCUUAAGUUUGUCGAAUACAGACACAAAAAUAUUAGCCAAAUGGAAGAGAAACAAUUCAAAUAGAAUUGGUUUCAUAUGAAAGACAUGUAGUUUUGAACAUGUAGUUCAAACACUUGAAAGUAUAAAGUCAAUGGUGUGUGCAAGCAUCUUUAUCUAUCUUAUAUGUCUAGCAUGACAUAAAAAACUUGAUAUGCGUCUAAUUAAAGUCUAUUAUAUGACUUAGCUUAUAUGACAAUUCUUGAAAGAUUUAAAUCACUUAAAGCAUAUACAAUUCUCGGUCCUGAAGUACCAUAUCCUAAGUGUUAUUUGUGCACAUAUGUAUCUUGCUAUAAUUAUACGCAUGAUAAUAUGAUAGGAUGAGUUUUUGUCCCUAUGUGAUGAUAUUGAAAUGAUGAUUUCAACAAGAUCAUAUGAAGACAAUUCAUCUAUAUCGGGAAUGAUGUCAAGGUACAACAUAUUCAUUCAGGUUAAUAUGGCUAAUUUAUUUAUCAAAUCUCUACCAACGAUCUUUUGAAGAUGAUGCAUAUGAUCGGAAUGUGAAUGUUCAAGGAUGUGAAUUAAUGCUCUCAUCAGGGGGAGUUAAUACGCAUUGUACUCUUUUUCCCUUACAAGGUUUUGUCCCACUAUAUUUUCGUUGCAAGGUUUUUAACGAGGCAACCAAAAGGCAUAUUUCUAAACAUGUGUACUCUUUUUCCUUAUCUAGAAUUUUUCUCACUAAGUUUUAUUUUAGUUAAGGUUUUAACAAAUCACAUUAUCUGUUGAAUAGACAUUCAAGGGGGAGUGUUAUAAAUAGAAUUUUAUUUAUGGUGAAUGUUUAUAUUUUAGAUAGAUUUUAGAGAUUUUACUUAGUGAUUAAGUGACUCUUUUCCUAUAAAUAAAUGGGUCCUAUUCCGUUGUAAUUGAUCACAAAAACUAUAAGAAUUCUCUCUCCCUAUUUUUCUCUGCAAUACUCUUCUUCUUCUUUUAUUGUUUCAUAACAUGAUCAUAUAUUUUCAUACUUUAACCAUCUCAUGUGAAAGCUUCUUGUCUUUUGAGUGCUAAUUCGAAAACUCCCUUAAUAUGGACUUAAUUGGAGAAACCUAGUUCUGUUUUUAGAUUCUAAUCACACAAUAACAUAAUCUUUUUUAAAAAAAAUCAAAUUUGAUCCAAAAGUGGCUUUGAUGUGAAAUUGGUAUUGCUCUAGGUUACUGGUGACCUAUAGAAAACAAAAAUCAAAUUAGAUUUGGGUUUAAAUCAGUAGGGUCACAUUUCAAAUUAUAUAAUUACUCCCUUGAGAGUUAGUCUCCUGGUUCAUUGUUACUUUCCACCUAAUCCUCCCUUUCUUAUUUUAUGUCACGACCCAAACUGAAGGGCCAUGACUAGCACCCGAUCACACUUGCCGAGCACCAACGUACAUUUCAUCUAACCUUCAUUAUUAUCUUUUAGGGCUGACAAGAUCAAUAUAAAUGGUAGACCUAGAUCAUGGACAACCAGC